rnacentral:tRNA from 1 species
AGCCUAGUGGACAUGGCAUCUGCCCGGUAAGCGGAACACUAUGGGUUCGAUUCCCAU